rnacentral:rRNA from 1 species
GUGCCAGCCGCCGCGGUAAUACGAAGGGUGCAAGCGUUAUUCGGAUUUAUUGGGUGUAAAGGGUGUGUAGACGGUAUGUUAAGUCCGCUGUUAAAUUUCCCGGCCUAACUGGGAGCCAGCGGUGGAUACUGACGUGCUAGAGGAUGGAAGAGAGAAGUGGAAUUCCCGGAGUAGCGGUAAAAUGCGUAGAUCUCGGGAGGAACACCAAUGGCGAAGGCAGCUUCUUGGUCCAUAUCUGACGUUGAGACACGAAAGCGUGGGGAGCAAACAGGAUUAGAUACCCCAGUAGUCC